rnacentral:lncRNA from 10 species
CCUGCAUCUGCCAACAAGACUGGAAGCAGGUGAGGCACACAGAGGGGGAGGCCCGCAGCUGCGUGGGAGGAGGGGUGGUCUGAGGGACGUGGGAUGCCGGGAAUGAGGCUGGUUUGCAGGUUGGCGCAUGGACAUUUUCCCAGAAAGGGACAGAGACGGCGAAGUUUGACGGUCUGGAAAGCAGAGACCAGCAGGGCUGACUGCUUGGGAGGUAAGUUCUGGGGACAUGGUACAGGGUGAGGAGCAGGUAUCAGUGCUAGUUGCGACCCCUCUGUGUCUCCCCCCCGCCACCCCAUUGCCAUUCUGAAGCUCCCCAGGAAGAAGCUAGGAGGGGAAAUAAAUUGAGUGGGGGUGGGGUUUCCCAAGAAUCGGAGGAACCGAGAACGAAGAGGGGUGGGGGAACGGGGAAAGAGAGAGGAAAAUCAAGUUUUCUUCAGCACGAGGGACAGCUCUCCACCGACCGAAGGAGGAGAAUGCUAUUUAUUUCAGCACCAAAUAUCCGGACAGCGCCUCUCGGGAGGUCCGAGAAGAGAACCGCGAUCUGUUUCAGCACCGGGGCUCAGGACAGUUCCCAGCGGGCUCCGUUUCGUCUCCAGAACCCUGGACAGCUCCUCCAGCUUGGAAUGCACUCCCUCCACCUCCAACCAGAGCUCCCCACAACUGACCCUGCCUUCUUCUGCAAGCUCCAUUUCAUCAAGGGAAACGAUCCUUAUUGCCUCACCAUUUCCCACGUGAAGUCUGUAUUGACAUUCUCAUAGACCUGGGAUAUUGUGUCUGCAGCACAUAGUCCAAUUAUUUUCAUGUUAUCUACUGACAGGUCUAUUUGUCUCCCUGUUACACUGUGAGCUCCGUGAGGGCAGAAACAAUGUUAGUAUUUUCACUGCUGUGUCCCCAGCGCCUGGUCCGGGGCCCGGCACACAGCAGGCAUAUAAUAAGCAUGUGUUGAAUCAAUAAAGGCAUCAAAGAAUAAACCAAUACAUCAAUCAAUAAAUGAAUGAAUGGCCUCAGCACACACAGGAAGAUCCUUCUUCUAGGUCUCCCCCAGAGAGAUACUGGAGGGCAAUGGUUGCUGGAGGUGUUUAUUGGGGAAGCAUAAUUGAAUUUGUGGACACUUAAGGGCCGGCCAGCCAACUCACAGCCCCAAGAGAGAGAGCCAGGCUCAUUUAAUUAGCAAUUACAAGGCACUGAUUCCUCAUUAGCUCUGGCAACCCUCGUCUCCCUCCUCAGCCCCAGACAAAUGAAAUCUUUCUCUCUCUCCCAGGAGUACUGCCUCAGUGGGUCCAUUAACAAGCAGAGAAAAUGAGAUUAGAAGACACCUAAAUGCCAGAGGCACUUUAUGAAUGGGCUGAGCAGAGGGAGGUUCAAUGUCUGGGUUAGGUCUAAUUGUGGGAGGUUUCCUGGUCUAUUUAGAAUUGCCCCCUGGGAAUGCAAGGUCUUUCAGAAAGGAAAAGGCACACAGAUAUUGCCUUCUGGGGUCCUCAAUGGAGGAGGACAUUCUGCUAUGGGUGUCUCCCAGUCACCCCAAAUUAAUCAUUUCAAAGUGAACACUCAAUCUGCCCAGCCCCUAGCUUCCUCCCCUGACAUGCCCAUGAAUAUGACAGUCCCUCUACAUGCCCAAGAUCCUCCCCUCCUCAUCCACUCCCCAUGAUCCCCAAGAUGAGUCACUGUGCUCAAAUCCAUCCUCUCUCCUCCAGCCCUCUGCCUCCAUGACCUCCCUCCAGCCCUCUGCCUCCAUGACCUCCGCCUCCCUGCAUGUCCGGAUCUCCUCACUGUCUCCCCUCUGAGCAUACACACACAUACAGCCUGUUCAUUCUCUACAUGCAGCGAGGGGACUUUCCAGAACACACAUCUGACCAAGUUCCACUCCUGCCUGUCACCCUUCCAAGAGCCCCACUGACUGCAGAAUAACGUUCAAAUAUCCGGUUGGGCGUGGUGGCUCAUGCCUGCAGUCCCAGCACUUUGGGAGGCCAAGGUGGGUGGAUCACUUGCACAGGACCACAGGCGUGUGCCACCACACCCAGCUAAUUUUUAUAUUUUUGGUAGAGACGGAGUUUCACCAUGUUGGCCAGGCUGACCUCAAGUGAUCCACCCGCCUCAACCUCCCAAAGUGCUGGGAUUACAGGCAUGAGUCACUGCACCGGUCUAAUUUUUUCAGAGUCUCACUCUUGCCCAGGCUGGAGUGCAGUAGCAUGAUCUCGGUUCACUGCAACCUCUGCCUCCUGGUUUCAAGCGAUUCUCUUGGCUCAGCCUCCUGAGCAGCUGGGAUUACAGGCACGUGCCACCACACUUAGCUAAUUUUUGUAUUUUUAGUAGAGAUGGGGGUCUCACCAUGCUGGCACAGUUGGUCUUGAACUCCUGACCUCAAGUGAUCCACCCACCUCGGCUUCCCAAAGUGCUGGGAUUACAGACGUGAGCCACCGCGCCCGGCCAGCCUUUAUUGAUUCUUUUUAAAGCCACACUAACCUUUUAUUUUCCCCCAAAGACCCCUGGGAGCCCUCAGUUUUUCCUGGCAGUUUCAUCUUUGUACCCCUGACCUCCCCACACACACGCCUAGCUCAGUGCUGGCAUCCAAUAUUCACUUUGGGUAUAAAUGCUUGUGCCUGAGCCUAUCACCUUCAUCACACAGAAAAUCCUGGAGGCCACACACCCCUGUAAAGACGAGCCAUUACCCACAGAGGUCCAACCAACUUACCACCCUCUCCCAGCCACCCCCAAGGACCCAGCUUGCAGCUGCCUGCUCAAUGGCUUUAGAAACUAAAAAAGGUGAAUGAGUUUCCAUCACUGCCCUCCUGGGCUUUGCCGUUAUGGCUGGUUAACUUGACAGAAGAACACAUUAUACUUCAUUUUUUGCUGUUGUCUUGUUGGAAAAAAAAGUGACAGCUGGGUGCAGUGGUGCACACUGUAGUCACAGCUACUCAGGAGAAUUGCUUGAGCACAGGAAUUGGAGGCUACACUGAGCAAUGAUCGCCUCACUGCACUCCAGCCUGAACGACAGAGCAAGACCCUCUUAAAAAAUACGUGAGAGAGGGUGCGUAUGAUGGCUCAUGCCUGUAAUCCCAGCAGUUUG